rnacentral:misc_RNA from 1 species
UUACGAUCCGUAGGCUCAGAAAAACUAGACGUUAGAGUCAGCCAGAUAAAAAAUUAAAAGCAAAAAUUGUCAAAUACAAAAUGUCAAUGUGAUUGUGCGAUGUCAAUUGUCAAUUUUUUUAAUUCCUCGAAGCAGUGAUUUAAUUUUUCGCUCAAGGUUUUUCAUAAUCCUUUCACAAAUUAAUAAUCGCCCAUUUGGCUUUUUAGGCCUUCAUGUUUGAUGGAUCCCUGGGGCUGUCAAAAUAAUAUCACAUCUACUGUGCCAGAGUUUGAAGACAACUUCAAACCAGAGAAAAGUGAUAAAUUGGCUGAUUCUGCUGAGUAUUUAGCUGUUCUUGAGAGAAAACUCGAGAAGUUGAAAAAGAAGAACAAAGUUGUGGACAAUUUAUCAGCAUAUAGAGCAGAUUGUAUCGACCGGUUGAUCAGAGAGGGCUGUGACUUGGAUCCAGUCAUCGGAGACACAGAAUCUGAGAAACUACUUCAAGAAUAGCCGCUUGACAUUGUGAACCCUUAUGUAAUCGCAAUGGGUCGCAAGAGCCUGUUCAUCUUCCUGAUGAGCCUGGCGUGGAAGUGCCGCUUCAGCAUGCCGCUGCUGCUGAGCGGCACCGUGGCGCUGCUGGGGCAGGCGUGGAUGUUCCAGAUCAGAGUGCACACCGUGCAUCGGCUGCACGACAACGAGGUGCGUUUAUAUUUUGGCGUAUUACGACGAGAAUGAAGAUGAAGACGACUCGUGGGAGACAGAGUCCACGGACUCCUGGGAGACCAUCGUGGAGGAGGUGGCUUACGGGUGACGCACUGGAAUAUUCGCUACGGACUAUUACGCAACGGUAAUAAAGGGAACUAUGUAUGUGAUAUUUUUUGUGGUAAUCUUAUCAAAAUGGGCUCGACAAGUUAACAUACGUAGACAGAAAAGUAAAUAGACAUAGCUGUAUAAUCCAUCGUAUUCCCUGAAAAAAUACAUGUCAUAGCAACAUAGUGUUAUCGUCUAUGGUUUGAGGAUUUGGAAUUAAACACCUGGUGACUCGUACAAGACUUUAUUCCACUCUCACACACAAUACACACUCCAGUUUAGGCAAUUCGUUGUCCAAAAUCGUAGCCGAGUUCACUAUUGUUCACUUGUAUCGCUGGUAUCACUUACAGUACGUUUCAUGUAGGAUGG